AUACGGAGGAUCCGAGCGUUAUCCGGAUUUAUUGGGUUUAAAGGGAGCGUAGGCGGACUAUUAAGUCAGCUGUGAAAGUUUGCGGCUCAACCGUAAAAUUGCAGUUGAUACUGGUCGUCUUGAGUGCAGUAGAGGUAGGCGGAAUUCGUGGUGUAGUGGUGAAAUGCUUAGAUAUCACGAAGAACUCCGAUUGCGAAGGCAGCUUACUGGACUGUAACUGACGCUGAUGCUCGAAAGUGUGGGUAUCAAACAGGAUUAGAUACCCUGGUAGUCCACACAGUAAACGAUGAAUACUCGCUGUUUGCGAUAUACGGCAAGCGGCCAAGCGAAAGCAUUAAGUAUUCCACCUGGGGAGUACGCCGGCAACGGUGAAACUUAAAGGAAUUGACGGGG
rnacentral:rRNA from 1 species